rnacentral:rRNA from 1 species
CAGCCGCCACGGGAAUACGGAGGGUGCAAGCGUUAAUCGGAAUUACUGGGCGUAAAGCGUGCGUAGGCGGUUCGUUAAGUCUGUUGUGAAAGCCCCGGGCUCAACCUGGGAAUGGCAAUGGAUACUGGCGAGCUAGAGUGUGUCAGAGGAUGGUGGAAUUCCCGGUGUAGCGGUGAAAUGCGUAGAGAUCGGGAGGAACAUCAGUGGCGAAGGCGGCCAUCUGGGACAACACUGACGCUGAGGCACGAAAGCGUGGGGAGCAAACAGGAUUAGAUACCCCUGUAGUCCCUGUCUCUUAUAA